CAAGGCCAACUUGAACUUAUACUCAAGCCUUGAUGUGUUCAAAAAUAUGUAUUCUCUCUAAAAUGAAUUCUGUACGAAGGAAAUGAAUUCUUUUACAUUUCCAAUUAAAAUAAAAGAUGUUCAGAAAAAACUGUUAAUUUACAAUCUCUUUGCAUUGUGGAAUAUUUUGUGUUCUAAACACAUCGAUUUUUUUUUUUUUUUUUAAUCAUCACUAAAUCAGACUUGAUGAAAUUAAAACAAAGUGUACUUUUCAAUUCUGGUUAAAUCGAAUUCAUCUUUGAUGGAAUUUUAUGUGUAUCUUUCAUCAUUAAUGAAUUUGUUUUAGCAUUGCGUUGUAUCGAUUAAAAAUUUCUCAGUGUUGCUUAAUUUUUUUUAACAAGACAUUCUGAACAGGCCAGAGGGUGCUAUGACCGCGUGUCUUUGGCUAUUCUCUCCUCUUCACUCACCCUUCUUUCAGUCGUCUGCUGGAUUUCGAGGGGUUAAUGCUAGUCUGCAGAUUUACUAUUUGUAUUCCAGAAAUACGUGCGACCGUUGAAGAUCUGCCCCCUAGACAACAUUCGACAACAUUCUAGCCUAUUACACCAUUUUGCAAACAGAAUGCGAAUGCAUGCCAUUUUGCAAACAGAAGCUUCCCUCUCCCUGUUAGAACCUAUGCUGCUGCUCCCAUCUUCCUUUUCUCUACAACGCAAUACAUUUAAAGUAACCUUAUUUAGUAAUGAAUAUUGAUCUGCUUCUGAAAUUGAAAUAAAGAUAUGAAAUAGUAAAAAGUGAAA